rnacentral:tRNA from 1 species
GGGCACUUGGCACAGUGGUAGCGCGCACGCUUCGCAUACAAUCAGCAAAAGGCAAUGCGUGAGGUCCAGGGUUCAAUCCCCUGAGUGUCCA